GGCGGCAGCUGGGGACGAAGUGGUUUCCAGUUGUAAUUUUGAAAUAGCCCGUCAUGGGUUCUCCAGUCAGUGGGGUAGGACACAGAGCAAGGUGUUCCAGCUGAGAGCUCAGUUUGUAAGUUGACUGGCCUCAAGCCUGGAAGUUGAGACUCUCUGACCAUACGCGGUUGAGGACACGGUGGAGGGAGUCUGGUCCUGUUCUCGCCGGCUUUAGGCGCCUUUCAAUCCUCAGUGGGCACAUAGAUGGUCAUGGGGCGGGGAGGGGAGAGGGAAUUCACAGAGAGAGAAUAACUUAGACAUCUCAUCCAAUUUGGUUCAUAAACGUGAAAACUGAACUUGUCACCGGAUCCAUGGAGUAGUAAAUCCUGGCUGGAAAACUGGAAGCAGAGAAGGCGGUCAGAGCUCGAUGGUCCUCAAGUAGAGUCAGAGGGCUGCCGUCUAGCGAGGUGGUGGGACAGACGCACGAGAAGAUAAAAUCACAGAGCAGCGUUGACUAAGAGCUGGCCGAGUCAUCACGUGAAUUGCUUCUGCAGGGGAAGAUGAGUGGUUGGCACUCUCACUGGCCCUCUGCCUCUCUACGCCUCUCUCAAGCUGAGAUUUUCUUGAGUUCCCAUGUCACCCAAGGAAGCCACAAUUCUCAUCUGGAUCACUGGUCCCUACUUGUGGCGAAACAAGAAAGUCAGUUGAAGCCUGGGUCUCCUGAGCCCCGGAGGGAUUCUGCUCACCUCUCUCAGUCCUGGAUGCCUUGCGUUGCCCAGAAUGCCCGAAUUUCCUUCUCCAUCCUUCCCUCCAGGGCUGAGGCCAUAUGUGUGAUUCCUUUCAUCUUAGCCCUGACUCUGGCCUUCACCGCAGAGGCUGCCAGCUUCUCAGAAGUGGCACACGUUGGAGGUAUCGCGGGUUUGGCUCCAGACGGCAGCAAUGAAGCGAGUGUCGCAAUAGAAAAAAUGGAGAGAAAUCUACACACCUCUCCCCACCAAAUUGUCUGUGGAAUGAAAAAUCACCUGAAGGAAAAAUUCUUUGCAAGUGUAAAAGGGCAUCUUAGACAACAAUGGCUAUUUUUAAAAAGCUACGAGAUGCCAUGAAAAUAUAGAGAACUGGGAAGCAAGGAGCCCUUGGAAGGAUGUAUCACUGUUGAGCAGUAUGGAUACUCUAAGCUGAGACUAUCGCGGUGGAAUGACUUCCCGUGAUUGCAGUGAGCGCAGUUCACUCUGGUGGAAGUGGACUUUUGUGUGGACCAAAUGGUCUGCUUUUGAUGCCCUGUUUCAUCAGUCGAUCCCCAUUUUUUUUUUCUCUACCAGCCUAUCCCCUGCAGUCUGUAAGAUGCUGAUACUGAUUUUCCAUGCUCUUUUUCACAGGGAGGUUAUCAGCCUUGCCUAUUUUUCUGGAUGGUUUAGCAAAACGGCCGAUCUCUCUGACACUCAGCAUAUGUUUUCCGGGGGAAGGUGGGUGUAGAGUCCGCUUAGGAACCUAAUGCAAGGAGGAGAUUACGCUGUUAACCCGCUGCUUCCCAGGCUUGGAUCCGUGGUAGAAAAUUGUCCAGGGGUUCAGCCACUUCUAGGCUCUUAGGACUUUGAAGGUUGUCUGUUUGGGCUGGAGGUGUGGUGGGACUGCACUGCUGAGAUGACGAUGAAGAGGAGGACACCCAGGAAGAGAAUAAAAAUGAGGGCGUUUUGAGUCACUUAAGAAGCAACACGAGGGAACCAGGAAAGGGAUUGCUUCCGUUUGCAGACGUAGGGAGGCUGUGCACUUUUAAAUUCUCCAAGCUCACGUGGGCCCUUCCUCCCUCCCUGUCUCCCUCCCGUGCUGGAGGAAUGUCAGGUUAUGAUGUGGUCCCGAGUACGAGGCAGUGAUAUUUCCAGGAGCUGCACAACCUGUGUCUAGAUGGCUACCUCUCAGAAUUUCAAUUAUUCACUCAUCCAUUCAUUUAGCAAUGACUUAUUGAGGGAUUAUUAUGUGGGAUUAGGGAUAUAACAGCGAAUAAAAAUGAAAAAAAAAACCCUUUACCUUCUUAGAGCUUAUAUUCUAGGGCAGGGAGAUGGAUGAUAAGUGUUAAUAAUAAAUACAUCAGUUAAUGAUGUAGCUAUGCAGAAAAAGAAUAGGCAGUGGAGGGGUGUUGUCAGUUUUUUGUGGAGGUCAUGGAAGGCUUUUCUAAGAAGGUGAAGUUUGGCCAGACACCUGCCUAACAGAAGUGAGAGCCAGCCAUGUAGCUCUCUGGUUAAGAAUGUUUCUAUAGCAGGAGAGCCCUCCUACACUGUUGCUGGGAAUGUAAAUUGGCGCAGCCACUA